CUAGUGGCGCACGGGUGCGUAACGCGUGGGAACCUGCCUUUAGGUUCGGGAUAACAGUUGGAAACGACUGCUAAUACCGAAUGAUGUCUUCGGACCAAAGAUUUAUCGCCUUUAGAUGGGCCCGCGUUGGAUUAGGUAGUUGGUGGGGUAAAGGCCUACCAAGCCGACGAUCCAUAGCUGGUCUGAGAGGAUGAUCAGCCACACUGGGACUGAGACACGGCCCAGACUCC
rnacentral:rRNA from 1 species